rnacentral:rRNA from 1 species
GACGUAGGGCGCGAGCGUUGUCCGGAUUUAUUGGGCGUAAAGAGCUCGUAGGCGGCUUGUCGCGUCGGCUGUGAAAACCUGGGGCUCAACCCCGGGCCUGCAGCCGAUACGGGCAAGCUAGAAUUCGGUAGGGGAGACUGGAAUUCCGGGUGUAGCGGUGGAAUGCGUAGAGAUCCGGAAGAACACCGGUGGCGAAGGCGGCCUGCUGGGCUAUGGCUGACGCUGAGGCGCGACAGCGUGGGGAGCAAACGAGG